rnacentral:lncRNA from 1 species
AUAUCUCCUGGUCCCUGACUGCAGGGAGGCACCAUAGCAAGAAGGAAAUUAUUGAUUUAUGUCCCCAACAUCAGAAACGACUGGGAAGCUGCGCAGGUCUCCUCUGACCUUUCUCUUUCAGGUGUGGAGCAGAGGAUCAUGUGGAAGCAGUGAAAAAGCUCCAGAACUCCACCAAGAUCCUGCAGAAGAAUAACCUGAAUCUGCUCAGAGACCUGGCUGUGCACAUUGCCCAUAGCCUCAGGAACAGUCCAGACUGGGGAGGUGUGGUCAUAUUACACAGGAAGGAGGGUGAUUCAGAGUUCAUGAAUAUCAUUGCCAAUGAGAUUGGGUCAGAGGAGACCCUCCUGUUCUUAACUGUGGGCGAUGAGAAAGGUGGUGGACUCUUCUUACUGGCAGGGCCACCUGCGUCUGUGGAGACCCUGGGGCCCAGGUGGCUGAGGUCCUGGAAGGCAAAGGAGCAGGGAAGAAAGGCCGUUUUCAGGGCAAGGCCACCAAGAUGAGCCGGCGGAUGGAGGCGCAGGCGCUUCUCCAGGACUACAUCAGCACGCAGAGUGCUAAGGAGUGAGGGCUUAGGGCACUCACCUCCUGUUUCCACAGGAAUCUUUUGGUCAAUAAAAUAGAUUGA